ensembl:lncRNA
AGGAAAAAACUUAAAUUAUGGGUCAAAAGAUCUGAGAUAAAGAAAAAAUACUAAAAUUUUCAAGACUGCAUAAAUAUACUGCUUAUUGCCACAGGAUGCUUUGAAGGUAAGCAGUAGAAAAAUAAGAUUAAAGAAGACUGGACAGAAUUGCAAAAGAUACCUGUUGUUAAGCAUGAUGUUUUAGGUGCAAAUUCUCCUUUACGUUAUAGUAAGAUGGGAUGGCUACCACAAAUAGAAGUACAUACCAUUAAUAUGGGUUUAUCCCAUACUCAUGUUAUGGAAAAGAGAUUGUAAGACUCUUUAUGCAAUCCAGACAUCUCAAUUUCCAUCUAUAACACACAGUGAUAAUGAUUAUGUUGAAAAAUUGUUUUAAGCCUUUACUGAUAGCUGUGAAAGUAGAGUUUGUGAUAAUAUACUGCUCAGUAAAGUGCUUUUGUGUGCAGAACUGUGGGUAAGUCAUGUUUUGCAGUGUCCCAUCGAACUGCUUUUAACCUCCAGUUGUAAAUCCAAAUAACAGUGUCUGGCUGGGAGACUGGGGAAUGCAGUUUGUCCAGUUCUGCUGUCAUAUAAGCUCCAUAUUCAGCACAGAUUCAGCUGCAUUAUCAGUGCCUCCUCUCUGCUGUUGACAAUGAAGUGCUGCACAGUCAGGAAAAAGAAUGUCAAGAGCUUUUUUGGCCAUCUUGUUGAGAUGAUGUUCAGCCAGAAAAUAGAGGACAAAAAGACUACUCAAGGCCAUUGAAAACAUAAAAAUCGGGAAAAAAAAAUUAAAUUAGUUGACAAGAGCUGAAGAAGUUUCUGACGAGAAGGUAGGUAUUUUAGUUGUAAAAAAGAUAUGGUUGUUUUAACUUUUACUAUUUGGAAAAAAAAGAACUUUGGAAUUAGAAUAAAGUUACAGCAAGAUGCAAUAAGACGUUUAAUCAAUUCAGCAGUUCAACCUGAAAUUAAAUUUAUCCCAUGGAAACAAGCUUUUCAAAAUGUAGUUGAAGAAAAUGAAGUAGCCUUCAGCCAAUUUCAAAGCAAUUCACUAUGAAUGUGCUCCUGUGCUGUAGUGCUCCCUUGGACUCUUUAAACUGUAUUCACUGUGAAUGGCCUUGAAAUUACAAAAAUUGAUUCAGUUCAAUUCGCAUACUUAGAAAAUCCAUUCAGUCAAAACACUGUUCCAUGCUAUUUAAUAUAAUGAAAGGUUUGGGUCUGGAAUAAUGUUAUUAAAUAAUAGAGUAAGUUUGCAUUGAUUUUUUUGAACACAAAUAAGUAAAUUACACAUUUUACUGUAAAUAUGUGACUUUAUUGCCUAGUUAAUACAUUUGCAAUAAUACCUGACACAAAUUUAGUACACCACUUUGUCUUGUUCCUAAUCUUCACAUAAAGAUUAAUAUACAUUUCACUUAGGGAUCAUGUAUGGUUGAGUAUUAUGCUCCUUCAGCUCCCACUGUGGCUCUCUGUGGUAGAUUUGAAGAGUGCACCUAUGUGUAGGAGUGCAACUUCUUUGCAAAGCGGGUCUAACAUUUUUGCAUGUAUGAGACAGAACUGUGUUCUUAUGCAUCAGCUUGCUAUGGAGUUUAGGGUAAACUUGAGAUAUAUAUCUUGUUUCCUGAACACUGCAUAUACAUAUUUUUAUAUAUAUAUAAAGCAAUGUGCUUAAAGCAAGCAAGCACAAGAGGCCUCUAUAUUUAUAAGAAGUAUUGAUGGGAGAUACUGAUUAGGGAACGGGUGAACUCCUGAUCUGAAAUCCUGAUCUGAAAGCACCUUCCCUUGGGAAUUUUAAAAUAUAUCUAGAAAAAUGGUAGAAAUAUGACAUUAGCCAUUGCACGUAAUGAGGUGGGCAGACUAGAUGACCUUAUUAAGCAAUAAGAUGUGAUGAGGUGUGCAUUGUGGUCUCGUAAUGACACACUUUAUGCCUUUAAAUGUAAGACAGUGCGUAAAGCUGUUAAGUGCUGAGGUGCAUCAUCGCUAGACAUUAUAAGACCUAGAUGCCUACAAAUUCUCUUUCUGAAAUAUCAAUUUCUAAAGGCAAGACAUCAGCUAUUAGAAAGAAAACCAUUCCCCAGAUAAAGAAAUAUUUUUUUUUUUUUUUUUUUUUUUAAUGUACUGAAAGGUCACAUCAAGGGAAAUUGUCUAGACAGGGAUUACUGUUACUAUUUCUUGAUAAUGAUAGUAAAUAACAUUGUUAACAGAAAUGUGGUAAAAUGCAAAUAUUUCAUCCAUAAGGUUGAAAUUGUAAUGCAUGUGAGAGGAAGGACUGUUUGGGAAUAGGACUUCCAUCCCUCUGAAGUCCUCCUGCUGCCCUUCCUCCCAGCAGUACUACUAUCUGAAGGCAGAAAGCAUUGGAGAAGUAGUACAGAGAAGAUGAGGUCAUUUAGUGAAUGACAGAACUUGUAAGCUCAAGACACAGAAUUUUCUUGAUGAGUUUCAGGACAGUUUAUUUUUCCCAUUUCCAAAUGUUCCUCAUCCUGCUGACACAGAUGUUUGUUAGUUGCCUGAAUCAGAAAGCGUGUGAAUUCCAGAGGUGCCUAUGGAGAGUGCUGUAAUAUGGAAAUACUUCUGAGCUACUAUUGCGAGCAAGAACAGUGAUAAUCAGAAUAGUGGCAUCUUCAGUAUGUCGUACACUUCGUAAGUGUUUAACAACAAUUAUUUCCAAAAGAGAGCUUAGUCCUUAUCACAGGAAAAUCAAGGGAGAAGCAAAUGAGGUGUUGACAGAAGGGAAAUGCUUAUUUUUGCUCACUGGCCAUGGUGAAUUCCUACAGUCAGUUGAGCACUUCCAGUGGGUAGCAUCAAGGUACUUUGAGUCUUUUUAUACCUAUGGCCUUUUCUUUCCCUGAAAUCAAGGGGAAUUUAAGAUACGCAGCACUUACUUUAAUUGCUUGGUAACUUGUGUCCCAAAGGCAAGUCCCACACAGGCCCACUUGUGUGAAAAGACUUGACAAAUUAGUGUUUUUCAGAGGUUCAAGUCUAAUUAAAUUUUCAUUUACCUUAUUAUUUAAGUGGAUUUGAUAUCCGUAGGACACUUGUGGCACCUUGUACUUUUUACUGGGUGACAUUCAAAACUUUGUUAUGUUAUUAACUGAGGUAUUUUUACUUCUGACAAAAUGUUUUCAGCCACAAGGAACUGUGUUUAUUAUUAUUGUUUUUUAAAUUAUUUUCUAGAAAUAUUACUGCAUCAAGAAGGGGCAGAAAAGGUGCUCGAUUUUCUGCAGGAUUUUAGAAAGUCCAAUAUUUGACUAAAAAAACCCACAAAACCAACUUGAUAUUACUUGUUCCUUUUUCGGUAAUCAUCUCUGAACUCAGAUGCUUCUGUAUAGUUGAACUUGAUAGAAACAGAUCUAUGAAAUACACCAGUAGAGUACUGGAAACUCAUUAUUUAUUCAGGGGGCUGAUCAGUCAUACUGCAUUUGUAUUUCUUCCACACACAGUGAGUGGAUAACAUAGCCAAUCAAUCCCCAACACACUCUGCUACUGUUAAUUCUAUUACAUACUCAAUUUUCAAUGUAAGCAUUCCGCCCAUGAUGUCACCCAAAAUUUUUAAAAUCUGUGUUAUAUUUCCUCCUUUUACCUCAUCCAUCCAAAUACCUUAUCCAAAGUUUAAAAGAGAUUAUAAUCUGGUGACUUCAUUAUGAACUCAACCUGAUCUUUCAACAGCUCUGCUGGAUCCGGUGUUGGCUGAAGCUGCUUUUUCAUCAUCCAGCUGGCUUGGUGGUUCUGAUGUUAACUUUUUCUUUAGCACUUAUGUUUUACAGCAAGCUGAUACAUAUAUUAUAUAACUAUAAUAUCAGCCAUUUCUAUUUAGCUAUGUAUAAAGCACGUAUUCUCUUGGCCUCACAGUUAGGUGAAUAAUUUCCUUCUCACUUAGAUUUAGGUAUCCUCUGAAUGUCUCGUGUAAAAGCAGCGAGGACUAUUGGAAAACCUACCAAGAUAUUUAUGGAGGUUUGUAUAGGAAUUCUCAAAUCUGGGAGAUAAUGACUCAUAUUUAUUUCAACAAAUAUUUUAUUUAUAGAUAGUUUAUAAUUGCAGACUGAGGUUACCAAAGAAAAGGAAUAGGAGGAAAAUGCAGACACUCCUUGCUUUAACAUGAAGAGAAUAAAUGAGUCUUAGUACUGCUCAAUAACAAGAUUAGGACCUAGUGUUCCCUCAAACCCAUCAAUAUUCCAGAACCUUGCCACUUUAUCUACUUUCAAAUUAAACCCAGUAAUGAUUUCUCUAUGAUAACUCUGGUGAUAAAACUGCAGAACUAUAUAUUUAAAUGAAAACAUAAGGUUUUGGUGAAGGCUCUGCUCCAGCAUUUGAAUAAUAAUGAAGUACUUCCCUUUGCAGGGCUCAGUCAUUAGCACAUUCCACUGAGUUUAGGAGAAAGCAAUGCCCUCGUCUGGGCAUGUCCAAGGAAUAUAAGAAUUUCCAAAGCAGAAGGAGAAAGCCAGUAGUUCCGGGGAAGGAAAUUUGAAACUACCUCUUAUUGGAAGCUAUCAAUAAAAAAUGCUUGAAGAAUAGAAGAUGAAGCUGAAGCCACAUUUAAUCAACGCCCCCUCCCCCCCACCCCUAAAAAAAAAAAAAAAAAAGUUGGGGGCUUAAAAAGGAGCAGAAGCUGGCAAAUUCAGACUUCUGUGAGGCAAGUUAAGGACAUAGGAUUUGCAUAGAAUGAGACUGACAAGGCCAUGAAGCAUCUAAUCAGCUUGUCAGCUGCAUCCUGCAGGGUAAGAGAAACCUUUGGAGCUUAUCUAAGCUGUAGAUAUGUGCGUGCUUCUGUUUUCACUUCCACUCAUCUGUUUCUAAAGCUUCUGCAAAUUUGUUAUUUGUAUUUGGUAAAUACAUUAUUCAUUUUUCUUUCAUCUUAACCUAGCCUUUGCUAAAGGUGGUCUUAGUAUAAUUGGAAAAUUCAAAGGCAUUUCAUUCCUCGGAGUGGAAAUCCUUAAAACUAGAGUAAUAGACUGACUCAGGAUAUCCAGCAUUCAGAUGAUAUUUCAGAGAUUACUUAGAGUAUAAGAGAGUGCAUCUCUGUACAGAAAAGAGUAGGUAAUUCAGCUGUUGAUGCACAAGAAAUGUUUUUGAGGACUAGUGUUAUUUUGUAAAGCUUGUCAGCUCACAGUACAACAGCGGUCAGAAUGCCUUAACCAUGUGGAAUCAAAGGAAGUAUGAAACAAAAUUAAUUCAGGAAAUGUAAUGUCAGUUACAAGGCCAAGUCUUCCAUAUAUAUGAAAGCACCAAGCAAAAAGGUUGAGUGCAUCACACCAUACUCACAGCACCUUUGUGGCUCUCUCUUUUCAGUUGCUACGACAAAAGAUUUUCUCCAAAAUAUACAGGAUGCCAUGGAGACUGACUGAAAAAAAGCUCUUAAUCCCUGCUUUGCUGGUGCUGACAGGAGAAUAGAUCUCUAGACACAUAGCAUAUUUGGUAAGCAGGAAGCUGGAGACUGAGGUGGUCAAAAGGGUGAAAACUUGCCUGUCUGUGGCAGUCCAGCUUUUCCUCAUAACUAUAUCACAGGAUAUUAAUUUGCCAAACAGGCUAUAAUCCAGCUACAAAAAUCUGGGCUUUGGGGAUUGCUAGUCAUGAAGCACAUGACUUUACAGAAAAGCUGGUGAAUGGUUUUAUGCCAGGAACGGUGCAAAAUAAACUCACUUAGCAACCUGAGAGAAUAUUUACAGUCUACAGAUUUAACUACACAGAUGUAGAGGAAGGUGAGCCCUCCAUCUUCUGUAAUUUGAGACGACUCAAAGAAUGCUUCUUGGAGAGAAUUCCAUUUUAAUUUUUUCCCUGUUUUUUACUUAAUACACUUCUAAUGCCGUACACUUGUGUUGUUCUUACUUGAACAUCAACGAUUUUUAUGUUGGAGUUGUAUGAUAAACUUGCAUUUGAUUGACAUCAAGUUAUGCAGGUCACAGAUCCAUAAUCCAAAACUUACAGCAAUCUUGGCUCAGACAGGUUUAUUAGAUAAAGCGCAGUGUCCCACCUAUUGCUUUUAUUUCUACCUGCUACCAUUCUGGAGUAGUGAAUUUUGGAGAGAUCACAUUAUUUUUCUGUGGAAAUGUAUAUGUUUCUAUUUCAGGAAUUGCUAAUCAGACAAGGAAGGGAAAUUCUCCUUAACAAGUGUCAGGCCCAGUGGAGCUUCUGCCGUGCAUGAUCCAAACUAACUCCAGGAAGAGCAGCUGUCCUUGCUCUCUUCCUGUAGGGAUGAGGAGGCUCCUGUGCUGGGGCCAGCCCUGGUAAGAAAAAGGGAGGAUGUUGCUGGCGUCCUAAGUAGCGGUCUCAUCAAUGCUACAGUGCACUCAGCAGGACCCAAACUGAUGUCUGAUGAUGUCUGUGCUUUGUCGGUGUCCUAAAUGACUCAGGGGACACUGAACUAUUGUGUCACUCAAGCUUGUUCAUAAUUUAGGAUAACUUGGUUCCUACAAUCACAGCAAUAGAGACACAAUUGAAUUAAUCUAUUUAUGCUGCAUAACUUGGCACCUCUGAAACUGUUGCUGAAUGAUUUCGUAUUCCUUGUAGAGAUCCAAUAAAAUCUGUAGAAAAGAGCAAUAAACACUAGCAACAGAUCAUUUCAGUUUUAGUGCAGUAUAUUUCUUUGUGACUGUAAGAAGGAUAACGUGCAUGAAAAAAAUAAAUGACCCUUCUCCUUGACUGCGAAGUGUUGCUGAUUUUUCUUACUGUCCUUCUAAGUAAGAAACUUCAGUUUCUCUUUCAGGAGGGCUAAAUUGAUGGUAAUGUUGACAGACAAAAAGAAAAUCAAUUACAUUUUCAAUGCAGAUAUUAAUUUAGAGGUGGUCUGUGGACUAAUGUUACAAGAAAUUUUACUUUAAAAUUACAUUAUGACUGACUAACAUUAAUCUGUUUCAUUUGUAAGGUAUGCAUACUAAAUAACUGAUAUAAAUAGUUGCUCCUAUUGAAAAAACACUCAACUACCAAUAAAAUUCAAGUAUAAAACCGAUGAGACAGCUUUUUAGGCACCACCCCAAUUACUCCAGGAGUUCACAAAGCAACAUCUGCAGUCAUUAAAUAGUAUCUAUUUACUGUAGAAUUUACUGAUUAGAGCAAUUAAUCUCUUAAAACAUUUGCUUUGACUCCCUUAGAGCACACAUCUCUCUCAGGCUAUUGAAGCAUUUCUCUGGCUGCAUAUUCUAAGUCAAGAAGAUACCCACUGAUUCAGUAGACUUUGGAUUAGUUCCUUGGCUGUUGUUCAAUACAGCAUGGAAAACUUUUCCCUAUCUGUCAUGUGCUAAGUAUGGAAUACGAUCACACAAUCUCUAUGCAGUGUUCAUACUGCUUCUUACAUCUUGAUAGAAUCCAGAGUAACAGACAGCUCAGCUGUGCUACAUAAUGGAAAAGAAUGAAUAAAACAAGUAGAUCAGGGUCUGUACAAUAUAAUGCAGAAGUACCAUUGCAAGGAGCCAGCCAAUGUUACAAAUCCUGUUUCAGUGCUGGGCUUGCAAGACUCAGGCUAUUCUCCAGAAUUCUUGAUUGUGAACUUUAACUCAUGCACAGAUAAAACUUGGAUCCAUUGAGCCUAUUACUCAAAGCUCUGUGGGAAAGUAGGUGUACAUCUGGGUCUGUUCCAGCCCUGGAAGCAGUACAGCUGUAUUAACAAUGUGCUUCGUGUAUCACUAAAUGCCCUGCUGGACUUGAUGUUUUGUAUCCCUAGCACGGAUGAUCAACAGAGCACAUUACCUGCUUAAGGAUAAAUGAGAGUUGGCUGCAUUUGCCAAAUGUGAAUCAGUGUUUCUGUUAGAUGUAGUGUGUAAACUUGAAGUUAUAUACAGUUCUUUUAGACCACCAGUUCCAUAGGAUUCUUAUUAUCUUUUUGAUUGUUAAUAAUAAUAAAAAAAAGAAUGUUGGCAAGAAAAACAACUGUAGGCUAAUCACAUAUCAAAAAAUGUUAUUAAAAAUAAAAUUAUAUCUCAAAGUUUUUAAUAGGUUUUUGCUGUAAUAUAAUUACAUACUAAAAACAAAUUGAAAAUUGGUAUUUUAUCACAGAAUCAUAGAAUAUCUUGGGUUGGAAAGAACCUUAAAGUCUACCUAGUUCCAACCUCUGCUUUGGGCAUGGCUGCCACCCCCCAGCUCAGCUGCCCAGGCCCCAUCUAACUUGGUUUCCAAUACCUCCAGGGAUGGGGCACUCACAAUUUCUCUGGGCAGUUGUGCCAGUGCCUCACCACCCUCUGAGAAAAAAGAAAUCCUGAUGUGUAAUCUAAAUCUCCUACCUUUUAGUUUGAAAACAUUACCCCAAGUGAUGAUUAAAGUAUUGUAUUAAAUGCUUCCUUACAUUGCUAUAAGAGGGCCUGAACCUUGGAGAUUAAAUGGAAGAAAAAGAAAAAGCCAGUGUAAGAUGUAGUAAGUAAGAAUAAGAGUAAAUAUUUGAAAUGUAUUGGAGCAGGUCCGGAGGAGGACCAUGAAGAUGAUCAGAGGGCUGGAACAUCUCCCACAUGAGGACAGCCUGAGAGAGCUGGGGUGCUUCAGUAUGGAGAAGGCUCUGAGGAGACCUUAUAGUGGCCUUCCAGUACCUGAAGUAUGCCUACAGGAAAGCUGGGGAGGGACUUUUUGUAAGAGCUACAGGAUGAGGGGAAAUGGUUUUAAACUGAAAGAGGGUAGAUUUAGAUUAGAUAUUAUGAAGAAAUUCUUAACUGUGAGGGUGGUGAGACACUGGAACAGGUUGCCCAGUGAGGUUGUGAAUGACCCUUCCCUGGACGCAUUCAAGGCCAGGCUGGAUGGGGCUGUGAACAACCUGGUGUAGAGGGACAUAUCCCUGCCUACAGCAGGGGGAUUGGAACUAGGUGAUCUUAAAGGUCCCUUCCAACCCAAACCAUUCUAUGAUUCUAUUCUAUGAAAUUAAUUAGUUAAUAAUAAUAGUUCUGUAUUGUAAUUGAAAGCCUUAAAAAAAAGUAUAUUCUUACAUAUGAUCAAAGUAUAUCACAAAGAAACAGAAAAAAAAAAAAAGCUAAAGAAAGGUCAAUGUCAGUUGAAGUUAUUCAGGACAGUAUAUCAGUGGAUAUAUAUAUCAUGGAUCCAUUUAAUCAUGUUGAUCUGUUGAACUGCAGGUAUGCAGAUUCAAAUAAGAUAAUUCUGAGAUUCAGAAUUAUAUUUACAGUUCAUUUUAAAAUGCUGGCCCAAGGAAAAUUAUUGUUGUCUGGCAAAGUAUCUCUUAGUCUGUUAUUCUGCUUUGUACAAAUGUAUUUAAAACAAAUGUAUGUAUGUCGAAGGACAUUUGAAAGACAGGGAUUUUUAGUAGAAAUUUUGUGUGAGUCUUCUGAAUCUACUCAGAAAUUUAAAAUAUCAGGAGCCUUACAGGAUUUACCUUCCCAAGGAUUGACAAACAGGCUGAUUCGGUAAGAUGAAACAGUAAUUAAGUACUUUCAUAUAUUCAGUUCCAGACGGGUUAGUAACACAUUCCAAGCUGAUAUGAAUGGCACAAUUUGUCCUCUGGAAUUGCAUCUUUCUCUCCACUAAGAAUGAAGUGAAGGCCAGAGAGGUGAAGCUCCAUUCCUAUAACCAGGCUUGCACAUCUUUACACUCUGUAAGUCUGGCUCAGCUACAGAUACUUAUGCACACGAAUAACCUUUUCACAUCAAUAUCCUCCUGAAGACCACAGAGUAACAGUUAACUGAAGAAAAGAAUGUGUAUACAUCUCUAGGGUCAUACCUCAUUCUGUGUCUCUAUUUUUGAAUAUGUUUCCAAUUCAGAGGUUACUGUUAAAAAUUCUUGCACAUCAUAAGGCUUAUGUUCAGGAAAGAGGGUGUCAUCAAUGACUGUGUAUCUCAGGGCAUUAUGUCCUUUCUAAGGAAACAGAAAACUGUGGUGAGUAGCAGCGAAGAAAUUGUCUAGUAUAAAACUGAAACUGAAAUUUAUUUUCAAAGUGGAGAAAAGGGGGUGCCAAGAAGGAACACUUGCCUGAUCCAAACACACUGGCAUCUACUUUGGUGUUUUUAGUUCAGACUGUGAAUCCAAAAUAUAAUCCUGUUUUCAUUGACAGUGAAGAUCUUAACCAGCAUAGAUAUUGGCUUGGAUUGCCCAACCAAAAUCCCAGGAGUUGCUCAUUAAUUCAGCAAGCCACAUUUCCUGUAAGAGAGAAUUACCUGAAGAUAGAUUGACAAUGGUGAUCUGUUUCAGUCUCUUUCAUUACUAGAUGCUUUAGCUAUUGUUUUUCCCUGGGACAAUAGUUUUUAUUACUGCUUAUCCAUAUUUCCAGAAAUAUAGCAAAUCAUGUGCAUCUUGAAAUAAAAUGGAAGCAUGAAAAUGAUACUAAAAAUCAUUCAAAAGUCGUUGAAAAUAAAAUAUUUGUUUGUUUCAGACUUAGAAAAUAUACAGCCAGACAAUAUAAAUUAGGUAAUUUCCUUACCUGUUUCACUCUAACCUAGACAGGUUCAACAAGUUCAGAAACACUGGUGAAAAGGCAAGAUAAGAGGUAGGUAGUCUGGGCUAGCUUGUGUAUGUAUAUUCAUGAGGUGGGAUGACUGUCAGUGAGAUAUUGGUGGGAGUACUGGGUCACUUGCCUGGGUUUUGGAAUGAAAUAUCCAAAGAAAAACCAUCUUGUGUGAUCUUGAAAAUCAAUUCAUUAACAGGAAAGCUGUGUCACAUGGAGUAGUGCAUAUUAUUUCUAUUUGUAAAUAUUUUCAAGAUGCGAAAAUGACAAAGAAGGCCACACAAAUACUGUAAAAAAAGAUAGAAAUAACAGAUCCAGUACUUAUUUAGGAAAGUAAACAAAACAAAACAAAUAAACAUUUCUUUUCUCUUUUGUUUGGUGACACUCCGGCUGCAAAAAUUAGAGUUAUGGCUCUUCUAACUUCCCAGUACAAAAGAAAUACUGUUCUUUGUUCUGUCCGAAUGCCUAGGUUUUCAUGGGUUGGGUUUUCAUGGGUUGGGUUUUCAUGACUCAUUUCUCCUUUACUGCAUCUGGGUGCUGGUACCUGGAGAAAUGAAUAAGAAUGGGUAGAACAUACCCGUCUUGGUUAUCCUGCAAAUCUGAAAGUGUUUUGAUAUUCUGGUCCACACUGAUGGCAUGAGUAGUUUUUCUCUUUUAUCUCUGUCAAGAAUUUUUAGAUUUGAGAUAUCUGCUUUACAAUUCAGGUGGAGCAUGAGAGAGAACCUGGGCUGAAGUUAAAUAUGUCACAUCCAGAACACAGCAUGAAUAAUUUUCCUCUGAUUUACAGUUUGGUGUAACUUGUUAUGAAGAUGUCAGUAGUUUGUCUUUUUCUCCUUUUAAAGUGGUGACACAGUGAAUGACCAGAACAUGCUCUCUGCAUUGAUUAGUAGUAGAAGCUUUAGCAUGACUAGCUCUAAACAGACAUUUGAAAGACGAGAGAGAAGAAUUUUUUAAAAUGGCACAGUGUGAAAAUUUCACUUGUAGGGUCUUUAUAUGGAGCAAAGAGGUUAUCCACCUAAGGACAAAUAUAAAGUGCAAUGAAAGCUCAAUUUAAAAGCAAGACACCUGCAGCUUGCAGCUCAAUAAACUCUUUUUUUUUCUUUUUUUCUUUUUUUUUUUGGGGGGGGGAGGAAAAUUAAUAGUGAAAGAUUGAGACUAAUUUUCAUGUUUUUAACUUCAAUACUCAAGUAUUAUCUGUUCAUCCAAUGUUUUGCUGCAACCUGUGGUUACUGUGUCUACCAUCCACACUAGACGAUGGGAAGAGGACCUGCACAAUAGGAAAUGUUCUUGCUUAACCCCAGGCAACAGCCCUAACUGAGCAUGAUAAUUCAAAAGAAGGAUUGAUCAAAAUGGGAAACUGCAGACCUCUGGUGACAUUGCAAAUGAGGCUCUGUAAUCUGCAGUGAACCAUGCACUGAAUUUCUGCCUCUGCAGUAUGAGACUGAGAGGAAGAAUGCAUGGAGUGAUACCCCAGAUGCAGUGUGGGAGUGUUUGCUGAGCUACACCAGACUACACCAGAAAGAGAGGAAAAUUCUCUUUACACUGGAUAACUUAAAACUGCACUGAUUCCAAGAAACUGCAUUGACUCCAAGAACUGAUGAAGGAACUUGACAAGUAUCAUGUAAACGUCUCCUGGCACAGAGAUAUGACUUGGCCUAAGAGAUACCCUUCAUGACUGUUGUCUAAUACCAACAUGUUUUAAAUGGCACCCUUAUGUCUAGCAUUGCUUUUGGCCUUUCUCCUCCUCACAUCCUCAUAGCCUUAGCAAUGUCUAGCUGUGGGUAUUCCUCCAACCCCAUAUCAUCCACUCUUUAAAUUGAAUUGGAAGAUUUGGACGCUUUUCUUUCAUUAAAAUGUAAAACAAACAAAAGAAAAAAAUUGAAACAACAACAACAAAACAAACAAACAAACAAACAAAAAAACCAACCCACAAACAAAACCAAAACAAAACAGAACACAGGUUGAACUAUGACAGCACACACGUCAGUGCAACCCAGGCUCAGGUCUUUCUGGCAGAUACCUGGCAAGGAGUGCGCAAGUAUGACAAUGGUGCAGUGGUAUUCUGCUGUAACACCAUCCUGCCCUUGUGCUGUGCUCUGUAAGGGAUGUAGGCUUUGUGACUGCUUGGCUCAGUGCACAGACAGUGUUUCAUGAUCUUGAAAGUUUUACCAAAUUAACAAUCUUUACUGAAGCAUAGAUGUAGCGGAGCCUCAUCCAACACUAUGAAUAGGAUAAACAUGCUGGGUUACAUUCAUUUUGCACUUCAUAUUUGUAUAUAAAUCUAAAAUAACUCUGUAAAAACAUGAAAAGUAAGUUUGCACAGUGAAGGCAAAAGGAUGCACUGGUCAGGAUGCGCUCACUUUUUAGGCUUUCAGAUGAGGUAUCUUAAAUAGGAGCUUAAUUCCUCCAGGUGCUCUUCUCAAAGGAAAUACAGAUGUCUUCCACAUAAAGGAUCAGCUUUGUAUAGAAAAGGUCACUGAAGUUACUCCAAUUAUGUUUUCUAAGAAUUAUGGUUUAUCUGUCAUUUGCUACAAAUUGUCUCAUUGUCUUCCUGCCUCUGAACACCUCAACUGCUGAAUUUCUUAAAAAAAUAAAUAAAUAAAAUGAAAUUGCACCCAGAGUUAUUUUCUGGUCCUUUUAUAAAAGACUGAAUGGUAAACGCACAGGUUACAUUUCUGUGUUGUCAUCUUUUGGUCUGACUGUUACUCUCCUAUGAGAACUGAUCUCACUCUCUGGUUAAUAACUAACACUUGUAAGGUAUCAAAAACAUCAUUCAUUCACAUUUUUUUCUUAAAUACAGAAUUAAUUUAAUUCACAAUGAACUUUCCUCUUAUUGUAGUAGCUUUCAGUUUUUGUGUAUAUUUUAUACUCCUCAAAUGCCUUAAUAAAAAAUUUUGGUUUGAGCUAGUCAAACAGAUGUCAUAGCAGAAAUAAGCCAUACUGUUUUAUGACCACACAAUGACCUUGACUUUGCCAAUAAACUACUGGCGUGUGAAGGGUAUUGUUUCCUUGUUGGAUAUUGGACCUCUCCUGAAAAUAGGAUAGGUUUGAUUAAUUCAGGUCAAAUUUAUUCUGAGUGUAACCUCACUGAAAUCAGAAGAAUUACAUUAAAGGAGCAGGUUUUGCUGCAUAAGUUUUAUAUUGGCUAGGUAUAGUCUCCCUUCCUUCACUUGGGAGGAUUUCUGAUAUUCAUUAACCUUUCAGAGCAAGUUUUAUACGAACUGCUCAUUUUUGUCUUAGAAGCUGAUUUAAUUUAAUAUUCUCUACAGCAAACAAAGCAAUAGUUCAAUUUCAGAAAAAACCUUAUGUCAUCCCCCAGUGAAUCACUUACAGGUACUUAACAGAAAGCAAUGUAAGAUAGAAAAUACAGAAAAGUGAAAAUGCCUCUGAACGUUCAAGAGGAUAACAAAUUAGUAAAGCAAGUCAGCAUGGCAGAGAUGAAAGCACAGAGAAUUAUUCAUCUAGAUGGUGAACCAGUUUUUUUUACCAACACAGUGCUAAUGACUGAAUGGAGUUGUGCUAGUGUUUCUGGUGUCUUGAGCCAGAGGCUUCACUACAAUUUAAUAAUACACCUUAGCCUUCACAAAGCUUGGCAGUAGUGUUCAAAUAAUGUGUUUAUUUCAUGCACCUGCAAAGUUUGAAUAAAUGUGAAGAUUUUUUUAUGCAAAUCUAAUACAAAAUCCCUUAGGGUUUUGGUUUUCAUAGAGAAUCAUUCAUUUAAUAACAUUUAGUGUGGAAUAAUAUACUUUUUUUCCUAAACUCUUGUACUACAAAAUAGCUAAAAUAGGUAUUUUAAAGUGCUAUAUUUUGAUUGCUUGAGACCCACUGUUAUUAGAAGUUACAAGUUUAUUAGUUGUCAAAAGAAAUGCAUAGUUUCUAAAUUUUAUAGGUUUUCUUCCAAAUCAAUCUCAACAAAUCCUGCAAAUUUAGAGUUCUUCAAAUUCAUAACUAUUUAAAACGUCUACAGGGUGCAAACUUGGAUUUGAAAUAUAUAUAUAUAUAUAUAUGUAUUUUAAGUAAAUUAGAGUCUACCUUGAAAUCAGACCAUAAAUAACAAUCAAUUCCUGACAGUUUCUGUUAUCUUCUUUGGAGUAAUCAGACUAUCUUUUAGCCUGGCUUUGAUAACAAGCAGAGGUUGUAUUAUCACACUGUACUUGUGUACCUUUGUGUCUUCCCAGUAACUUCUGAAUCAGUUAGCCAGUUUCAAGCCAAUUUGAUUGAAGGCUGAGCUUUCUAAGUUCCCUGAGCAGUUCCUGGUGGUGUUUGCCUUUUGGAGGUCAAAGGAUUUGCCACUUCCUUGGAUGAAACAAAGUGUCAGUGGUCUUGUUUCUGGUUUCCUCGCUUCCUUUCUGGUGACUCUCUUCUCUGUCCAUUUUACUGCCAUGGCCUAGGAAGUUUUUCUGGCUGAGAUGUUUUCCUCUUUGUGCAGCAG